CCCUAGGGUUUGAGAAAAGGAAAAAAAAUAAUUAUAUGAAAAAAAAGGAUUGAAACCCAUUGGUUCUUCGUGCUCUAGUCGACCUCCUUGCCUCUUAUCUUCAACGCCGACAACCAUACCAAGUUUCCACCGCCCAGCUCCUCAACAUCGCUAGUUCCCAUUAGCCAGCCCCAACAUGUCACUCCACCGUCCAAACGUUGGCAUCCACAUGCGAAGGAAGACCGUCGAUCCUCGCAUGUGCAUAUCGUCUAUCGGUCGAAGCAACCAUGCACUGUCGCAUCUCCAUCGUUCUGGUGAAGUCGUCCACCGUCGCUCGCCAGACUUCUGCCUCUCAGCCCAGCCAUCUGCACCACUAUCAUUCUAUAAAUCGAGAGUGUUGUUGGAUCAUAGUCCCAGAUUUGGUUUCCCGUGUCGGUCGUUGUUAAGGUAAUGCCAGAAAACUUGCAUCACCGCCGUUUCCAUUCUGUGUCGCCAUUGAUUUGUGGAUUUUUGGAUAAGUUUGCACUUUUGGUUGGGUUUCUUUAAGGUUCUUGUUUACCCAUUGAUGUUCGGCUCCAAUUUGGUGAUACCUAUUGUGCUUUGGAUGCUAAUAAAAGUUUUAGAGUGUCGAUUAUCGUUGUCUAGCAAGAACGGUGACUGAUUGAUGAGUUGUUGGUAAGCUUAUUUUAGGUUCUUGCCAACUAAUCCAAUUAAGUUGGUAGGAAUUUAAUUAUUGAUUGGAUUUUAUAUUUUGGGUUUGAAACCUUCAGUUUGGCUUAUGUAUGGAUUGAAUUUCAUAAUUGAAGCUCAAGUGUGGUUCCGGUUAAACUGACACUUUAGGACAAAUCAAGAAUUUGACUCAAGUCGAAGAGGGAUUUGUUGCUAGUUGUUCAGCAUAAUUCGAGGUAAAUGAUUUAUUACUAGUUCGCCCUGGAACCUCAAGUUGAUGUUAAGACUAUGAAUUCACUAAAAGCAUGUUUCUAUCGUGAUGGAAUGUUCUGCCAUGAUUGACUGAUGGAUAACUGUUGAGACUAUUCUGGAAACUCAUGAGUUAUGUUACUAUGAUUAUUAUAAUAUGUGAUGGCUUGUUAUGGAUUUGGACAUUGUAUGUUGCAUUAUAAACUGAUGGUAACUGUUAGCACUUUUAGCGGAUUGUGUACAUCCCCUGUGUAUGUUUCAGCGUCCUUAUGGGAUCACCACCUAUGCUUAUGAUUUUGUGACUUUUCAGAAUCACUUCCUAUGAAAGUGUGCCUUUAGGUUCCCCCUUAUGUUUAUACCUACGCCUAUACCUAUGUUCGGGAUGCACACCUUUGUCUCGAUAAGAAGGUUAACAUAUACACCUAGUGGGCCCAGUAGUGAGUCACUUACUGAGUAUUCUUGUACUCACCUUUUUCUCUACUUUUUUUUUUCAGGUAAGGACAAAGACAACUUGAUGAAUGACAAGAAGAAUCCAUGACCGAGCCUUGGGACUUGAUAACACUUUUGCAUAUGUUUUUCUUAUGUUUUCAAGUUUUAGCUUAGUAGUUAAAAUUUUAAAUUCUUUGAAUUUUCAUUCAAUUAUUUAUUUAAUUUAUUUUUAAAUAAAGAUUAGAGAUACCCUGAAUAGUGAAUUUAUGUUAGUCGAGAUUUUAUGUUAGGAAUUUAUUUUACUAAAUUCUUUUGGAUUUUGUCAAAUUUUGUGAAAAAGUUGUUAUAUAUGCAUGUAGUAGUGGUCUGAUCCUCAUUUUAGAAAGUUGGAUAUUUACAGUUGGAAUCAGAGCCUAAGUUUUUAGGUUUUGUAGAUGAACUUAUAUUUUAAGUCCAGAAUGUCCCUAUGGCUCACCAAUGGAUUCUUUGUCAUCGCCAUGUACGUUCGAGCAAUAAAAGUAUUAUGAAAAGAUUUACAUGAAA